UGUCUGAGGAGCCUAAACAAACACCCGGGAGAACAGAGGUUAGCUCCCAGGGCUGUCUACCUUCCUGCUCUAAUCUUCACAAUGGUGCCAUUCUUCACCUUUCCUUUCUCUCUUGAACAAUCACUGGCUUAAAUUGUACCUAUUCCAGCAAGACAGGUUUGCAGGUUUCAUAAGCCUUCAUGACAGUCAAACCAACUCCCUCCUAACAUCUGAGAGAUGCAGAAGGUAUUGCCCACAGUAUGGGCUCCUUUAGACAUUUGGAAAACCUUGGCUUUCAGCUCCCUGUCAUGAAUGAACCAAGGAUCAAAAUGCAUCAGCAAGGUGUUUAUGGCAUGGGAGAGACAGAGAGAAACAAUCACACCAUCAAUGGAUGAGAUGACAUCAUGAUUCUCACCAUAUUCCUGAUGCCACACAUGAUACCUGACAAAUGGAUGCUUCUCAAAAGAUGGACCAGUUCACUGCCUUGAUUCCUACCCACCUGCUGGCUGAUCUGACUAUUCCAGGAGCAGCGAGUUUGAAGUCCUCUUUUGUGUUCAUCUUAUUCCCACUUUUAAGUCUUUUGCAAGCAUGUGCUUCAUGUCUGAAAUUUCCUUUCAUUCUUUCUCUUUUCCCAAGUAAUCUAUAAAAAUUAUUAAAAUAAUGAAGGUUAAUAUUUUCUGUAAUACAUUUGAAGAGAUUAUUUAUGUAAAACAUAUUCUCACUGUAUUAGCUAUCUAUUGCUACACAACAAAUUUGUGAAGAGAGGUAUGUUUUCUUGUUUGUGAUGAAAGAUAGGAGAUAUAAAUGUAUAUUUGUCUGCUGCUGACAAAGACAUACUGGAAACAAAACUGGUAAUAUAGGAGAGAGAGAGUGAAGAGUUCUGGAGCUAUGUCCUUCAAAGACUGGAUCUGCUGCACAAGAGGAGACAUCUUUUAAGUAGGAGCAUGGGUAGUUCACCUAUAAU